rnacentral:tRNA from 1 species
GUGAUCAUGGUGUAAUUGGCUAGCACCGCGAUUUGUGAUGUCGUUAGUCUGAGUUCGAGCCUCAGUGAUCACA